GAUGAACGCUAGCGGCAGGCUUAAUACAUGCAAGUCGAGGGACAGCACAGGUAGCAAUACUGGGUGGUAACCGGCAAACGGGUGCGGAACACGUACACAACCUUCCUUUAAGUGGGGGAUAGCCCAGAGAAAUUUGGAUUAAUACCCCGUAAUAUAGUUGAAUGGCAUCAUUUGAUUAUUAUAGCUACGGCGCUUAAUGAUGGGUGUGCGGCUGAUUAGAUAGUUGGCGGGGUAACGGCCCACCAAGUCUACGAUCAGUAGCUGAUGUGAGAGCAUGAUCAGCCACACGGGGACUGAGACACGGGCCCGACUCCUACGGGAGGCAGCAGUAAGGAAUAUUGGUCAAUGGACGCAAGUCUGAACCAGCCAUGCCGCGUGAAGGAUUAAGGUCCUCUGGAUUGUAAACUUCUUUUAUUUGGGACGAAAAAGGGCCUUUCUAGGUCAACUGACGGUACCAGAUGAAUAAGCACCGGCUAACUCCGUGCCAGCCGCCGCAGUAA
rnacentral:rRNA from 1 species